rnacentral:tRNA from 1 species
AUGUGGCUCAGUGGUAGAGCGUUUGCCUAGCAUGCUCCACUCGAGGCCCUGGGUUCAAGCCCCAGCAU